rnacentral:rRNA from 1 species
AUACGGAGGGUGCAAGCGUUAAUCGGAAUUACUGGGCGUAAAGAGUACGUAGGCGGUUUGUUAAGUUAGAUGUGAAAGCCCCGGGCUUAACCUGGGAACUGCAUUUAAAACUGGCUAACUAGAGUUAAGUAGAGGGGAGUGGAAUUUCAGGUGUAGCGGUGAAAUGCGUAGAGAUCUGAAGGAACACCAGUGGCGAAGGCGACUCCCUGGACUUGAACUGACGCUGAGGUACGAAAGCGUGGGUAGCAAACGGGAUUAGAAACCCGAGUAGUCC